rnacentral:tRNA from 3 species
UGUAGCCAAGUGGAUCAAGGCAGUGGAUUGUGAAUCCACCAUGCGCG